UGCAAACUUACUGAGGGUGCACUCAAUGCCCUCAUCCAGGUCAUCAAUAAAGUUAUUAAACAGGACGGGCCCCAGCAUCGACCCCUGGGGAACACCACUCGUGACCAGUCGCCAGCUGGAUUUAAAUCCAUUCACCACCACUCUCUGGGCCCGACCCUCCAGCCAGUUCCUUACCCAGCCAAGAAGCCCAUUACUCCAGUCUGGCUGGGUCCCCCUGAACAAGCCAGUUAUCUUGUCAUAUAACCAGUGGUCUUUCUAGGAUUGUUUAGUCUGGAGAAGAGGAGACUCGGGGGAGACCUUAUAGCUCCCUACAACUACCUGAAAAGAGUUUGUGACGAGAUGGCAGUUGGCCUCUUCUCCCACAUAACUAGUGAUAGGAAUAGGGAAUGGCCUCAAGUUGCAGCGAGGGAGGUUCAGGUUGGAUAUUAGGAAAAAUUUAUUCUUCAAAAGAGUGGUCAGGUGCUGGAAGAAGCUGCCUGGGGUUAAGUCACAUCGCUGGAAGGUGUUCAAGAAACAUUUAGAUGUUGUACUAAUGGGAAUGGUUCAGAGGGAAAAUAUUGGUGGUAGGUGGACAGUUGGACUAAAUGAUGCUGGAGAUCUUUUCUAACCUUGGUGUUUCUAUAAUUCUGUGAUUCUACUCUUGACAGAUUUCCCCUGCUGCAUGUAUGGGAGACCUUCAUAAACCUGUUUGAUUAAAACUUGUUUGGCUACCUAACAUUGGGUUUGUUUCUAAGUGCUGUAAAACGAACUGCUUCACCUGCCUUUGAAAUGAGGUACAAGUGAUACAAAACACAUAUUUUAUUUAACAGGACAUACCAGAUGGUCUAUGCAAAACUGAAUACAAAAGGAAGAUUUUUGUCCAGAUCUGAGGUAGGGCUGUUUUGUUUUGGAAAAAAGAGGAAAGAAAUUGGGGGAGAUGGGGAUUGCAUUGCUCCUUGUGUUGCUGAAAUUGCACUGAGGGCUGCUAUUACAGGUCAGCAACAAGAAAUAGCAAGUAUGAUCAAUGAAUAUUUGGUAUGCAAAGUUUUUAACACUGUUAAAUAACUCUGAAUUGCAUUGAAAUAUAGGCUGUGUAUAUUUAGGUACUCAGAUAAGAUUUAUUUCUAAAUAAAUUUAAGUUAGUCAAACUGUAAACGAGAUUGGAUACCAACACAAAAUCCCUUUCAUGAUUUUCAAACAUUAAAAAUAAUUUCUGUGAACGUGACUGAAUUCUUAGUAUUUUUCAGUUAGUUAGGCAGAACUGCUCAGAACACAUUGUUUUUACCUCAGCAGUCUCUUGAGCAAAUACUGACUUUCUUAGACCUACUCCAUUUAUAUGUCUUGUUGACACUUCCAUCCUAAAAUGAGGUUACUGCAAACAUGGAGAUUUAAUUAAGUAUCUGCAUUUAAAAGAGGUGGUGAGAGAGUUCAUUCAAUAAAAAGCACACAAGAAAAGGGAUUUAAGUGAGAAAGUUGCAACUACUGAGACAUAGCAGAGAAACAUCAGAAAAUAAAUAUUUGCUAUAAUUUCCAAAAAAACAAAAAACAAAACAAAAAAACCCCAAACAACCAACCAUAGAAUUAACUCUUCAGUUGUUGACCUAGAAAAUAGUGAGGAGAAAUAAUAUGCCUGUGAAAAGGAUUAAAGAAGUCAAGAAGGAUGGCUUAAUGGGUUUAACUGACUGGAUUUAAAAAUUGUUUAAAGAAUGAUGCGAUGAUAAUGGUGAAAAGAGAUUCAAAUUGGCUUUACCAGGAAACAGAUCUACAGAUGUUCCUGUGAAACUUCAUAUGUAUUAUCUCAAUAAAAGAAAGGUUG
ensembl:lncRNA